rnacentral:lncRNA from 1 species
GGCAUUUUUGAGCUUGAUCGAUGCGCCUCGAGACGUGGAUGAUAUCCCUCCAAGCUUUUUUCCACAAAUUGAAGUGAAAUUGACAAAUCAAAGGUUUGAAUUUCUGGGUACUAUUUGGAAAAUCGGGUUUUACUGUUUGAGCUUAGUUUCGGGUAUUUUCAUGUGUUUUCUGACUUUGUGGUAGUUGUGAAAGAUGUUUGGAUGGUUGAGACGAAGCUGCUGCCAAAAUUUGGUGGCCGGAGGCGGAGGUUGCCGGUGUGUGAACAGUGCGGUGAACAGUGAUUGCGAGCUUGUAUGUGAAGUUUGGUGA